rnacentral:rRNA from 1 species
GAUGAACGCUGGCGGCGUGCCUAAUACAUGCAAGUCGAGCGAACGGACGAGAAGCUUGCUCCUCUGAUGUUAGCGGCGGACGGGUGAGUAACACGUGGAUAACCUACCUAUAAGACUGGGAUAACUUCGGGAAACAGGAGCUAAUACCGGAUAAUAUUUUGAACCGCAUGGUUCAAAAGUGAAAGACGGUCUUGCUGUCACUUAUAGAUGGAUCCGCGCUGCAUUAGCUAGUUGGUAAGGUAACGGCUUACCAAGGCAACGAUGCAUAGCCGACCUGAGAGGGGAUCCGGCCAAACGGGAAUGAGAACACGGUCCAGAUCCCAAGGGAGGGAGGCAGGAGGAAUACUGGCGAAAUGGGGGAAGGCUGAACGGAGCAUAGCGGGGGGAGGGAUGAAGGUCUCGGGUUCGAAAGACUCUGUGAUGAGGGAGAAACGUAUGAGUAAGUAACUGUGCAGAUCUGGACGUAACCUAAGCAGAAGGACAGGGCUAACUACGUG